ensembl:lncRNA LINC02073 long intergenic non-protein coding RNA 2073
ACUGGAGGAAUAAACCUUUGUAGAGGAAGGUUUGAUGGGCUUUCCUGGAAGAAGUACUCAUAGGAAAACCCAAAAGCUCAACAGAUGCUGUCUCCUUGGUUAACAUUAGGAGCUAUGAUCUCCAUCUUCCCAUGGCAUUAGAGGUUUAGAUACUGAGGAUCAGAGAGGCAAGUUCAGCAUCAGAAGGCAGGAAGAGGCAGAAAUCUGGACACCGAUUCCUAACUCUAAAGCUGCGUCAUCUCUAGUGCAUCUCAUCAGCUCUUCCCAAUGGCACCAAUCAACUUUAGCAUACUGGCCAGCCGGAAUAGAUGUCCUUGGGCAUUCUUAAGAUCUGAGACUGUGAUGGUUAAUUUUAGGGUAUCAGCUUGACUGGGUUGAGGAAUGCCUCAGUGGCUGGUGGCGUCCAUCAUUCCUGGGUGUGUCUGUGAGAGUGUUUCCAGAGGAGACUCACAUGUGAGCCAGCGGGCUGAGAAGGAGACCCGUUCUCAGUGUGAGUGUGCACUGUCCAAUCAGCUCAAGGCCAGGCUGGGGACAAACAGGCAGAAGAAGGAGGAUUCUCUCUCCCACCUUUCUGGAGCAGGAUGCCUUUUCUCCUUGGACAUCAGACUACAGGGUCUUUGGCUUUUGGAUUCUAGGACUUGUACCAAUGGCCUCCCGGGGCCCUCAGGCCUUCAGCCUCCAACGAAGGUCUGUGCUGUUGGCCUCCCUGAUUCUGAGGCUUCUGGACUUGGACUGAGGCAUGCUACGGGCUUCUCUGAUUCUCCAGCUUGUGGAUGGCCUAUCAUGGGACUUCUCCACCUCUGUAAUCACAAGGGCCAAUGCCCCCUAAUACCUUUCUUUUCAUAUAUCCUACUGGUUCUGUCUGCCUGGGGAACCUUGACUAAUACAGAUAUGGAGCAUUUGAAAUGAGAGGAUUUCUGAUCCUGUUCUUCAAGAAGCAGUAGGUCAGAGCAUACCUCUUUAAAAUAACUUCUGGAUAGUUUCACAGUUAGAAAGAAUCAGCUUCAGGUGAUCUUGAAGAUCCCACUUGGAUUCCACUCUCCAGCUCUCAGGAAGCUCUGGCUUCCUUACUUCUUCUGGGAUUUUCCUUUCAUGCUGGGGAGAGAUGCUCCCUCACCACUACCCAGCCCAUGGGACACACCGAGUCUGGUGGAGGAUGCUGUGACCUGUGGUGCUUGUGAUUGCGUCUUACUGUGUCGCCCAGACUGAAGUGCAGUGGUACAGUCUCAGCUCACUGCAACCUCGGCUUCCCAGGCUCAAGCAAUCCUCCUGCCUCAGUAUCCCAAGUAGCUGGGAAAACAGGUAAAAGGGAAGCAAAGGAAGAAAGAAGAAAAGAAGACAACCCAUGUAGGAUGUUAACCAGGUCACUGGUUUUAUUGUCACAUGCUUUUAAAAGAACAUGCAUGAGUGAGCUGUCUCACUUUCCAAUCCAAGAAUGUUUGAUUCCACUGUGAUGAAAAAUUCUGUGACCUGGCAGGAAAACACUACAAGAAGGGCAGAAGCGGAAAAUUCUUUCUAUUUUCCAAUAUGGCUUUCUUUGAUUCAAGAAAGGCCUCCUCUCCUCCACAUCUCUGUCCUGCUCAUGACCCCAGAAGAUCUCAGGUUGACUGCAUUUGUUCUAUGCCUUCCUCAAGCUUCACCUCUUCUGUGAGCCUCCUGGGUGGGCUCCUUCUGGCUAAAUCUUCCUCCUCACUGUUGCCUUUUUAUCUUAUGCAAGCACCUGCCUUAUCUAAAGGAAGUCGAAGCUUGGAGAGAUUCUGUGAAUUGGUGAAGGACACAGAGCAAAGCCAGGAUUCAGAUUCAGACCUGCUUGACUCCAAGAUCAUUCCAGAAAUCUCCCUUUUCCUUUGGACCCUGUGACGUGACAGCUGGGUUCUUUCUGCUCUGAUUUCCAUGCCUGACAACCAUUUAAAUGGAAUACAAGAAUGCAGUUUUCUUAGGUUGAAAGAAAUUCACCCUUUAUCAAGAAUUAUUUAUAGUUCCUCUGGAGUGAGAGAGGAAGACAUUACCCACGCAGUGCUCUGUGGAAUCAUCUGAGCCACCACUUCUGCCUUGGGGACAUCAUCUGGGGAAGUAUCUAGAUCCUUUGGCUGAACAACGUGUUUUGAGGUCUUUAAUAUGUCACCUUAAGGAUGAGGCCUAGAGAACAUGGCCUUUUGUUGAACAGUUUGUAAGCUCUCAAAUGUGAGUAAAUGUGAGGAGGGUCUUGAGAGAUAUAGGAAGCUCAAGAAACCUAGCUAGAGUCUCUAGACUGUUGAGAAAAGUGGUGAGAAGAAAUUCCCAUUGUGGGGGAUGGGAGUGGUGGUUCAGGAGGAUUUUUGAGAAUGGGGAUAGAGAGCCUAGAAAUAAGGCCACACACCCAUGGCCAUCUGAUCUUCGACAAAGCAAGCAAUGAGUAAUGGACUCCUUGUUCAAUAAAUGGUGCCGGGUUGACUGAUUAGCCAUAUGCAGAAGAUUGAAACUGGACUCCUUCCUCACACCAUAUACAGAAAUCAACUCAAGAUGGAUUAAAGACUUAAAUGUAAAACCCAGAACUAUAAAAACUCUGGAAGACAACCUAGGCAAUACCACCCUGGAUAUAGGAACGGGCAAAGAUUUCAUGAUGAAGACACUAAAAGCAAUUGCAGCAAAAGCAAAAAUUGACAAAUGUGAUCUGAUUAAACCUAAGAGCUUCUGCACAGCAAAAGAAAUUAUCAACAGAGUAAACAGAGUAAACAACCUAUAGAAUAGGAGAAAAUAUUUGCAGACUAAGUAUCCAACAAAGGUCUCAUAUCCAGCAUCUAUAAGGAACUUAAACAAAUUUAUAAGAAAUAACUAACAAUUCCAACAAAAAGUGGGCAAAGUAUAUGAACAGACACUUUGCUAAAGUAGACAUAUAUGUGGCCAACAAGCAAAUGAAAAAAAGCUCAAUAUCAUGAUCAUUAGAGAAAUGCAAAUCAAAGCCACAAUAAGAUAUAUCAUCUCACACCAGUCAGAAUGGCUAUUAUUAAAAAGUCAAAAAAUAACCGAUGGCUGGUAAAGUUGCAGAGAAAAGGAAAUACUUAUACACUGUUAGUUGGAGUUUAAAUUAGUUCAACCAUUAUGGAAAGCAGUGUGGUGAUUCCUCAAAGAGCUAAAAACAGGACUACCAUUUGACCCAGCAAACCUAUUACUGGGUAUAUGCCCAGAGGAAUAGAAAUCAUUCUACCAUAAAAACAUGUGCAACAAAUGUUCAUUGUAGCACUAUCCAAAAUAGCAAAGACAUGGAAUCAACCUAAAUGUCCAUCAAUGACAGAUUGGAUAAAAAAUGUAGUACAUAGGUCCCAUGGAAUACUAUGCAACCAUAAGAAAGAACAAGAUCAUGUCUUUUGCAGGAACAUGAUGGAGCUGGAGGCCAUUAUCCUUAGCAAACUAAUGCAGAAACAGAAAACUAAAUAGUGCAUGCUCUUACUCAUAAGAGGGAGCUAAAUGAGGAGACAUCAUGAAUACAAAGAGGGGAACAACAGACACUGGGACCUCUUUGAGGGUGGAGGGUAGGAGGAGGGAGAGGAGCAGAAAAACAUUAAUCUUGUUGUACAGAUUAUUUUGUCACCCAGGUACUAAAUGUGGUACUAUUGGGUACCCUACCACUGUUUUAUCAAACAAGUUUCUGUAAUAGUAUAAAUCCUUUGUUGUCAUUACAACAAUGUUCAUGGCAUCUUCACCAGGAGUAAAUCUCAUCUCAAGAAACCACUUUUUUUGCUUAUCCAUAAGAAGCAACUCCUCAUCUAUUCAAAUUUGAUCAUGAGAUUGCAGCAAUCUGGUCACAUCUUCAGGUUCACUCUAAUUCAAGUUCUCUUGCUGUUUCUACCACAUCCACAGUUACUUCCUUCACUGAAAUUUUGAACCUGUCAAAAUUUGGUACCUUACUGUUGUGUACCAGGUUUAGUACCUGGGUGACAAAAUAAUCUGUACAACAGACCCCCCGUGAUACCAGUUAACCUAGGUAACAAACCUGCACAUGUACUCCUGA